rnacentral:lncRNA from 1 species
UCAUAAGCUGGCAGAAUGGAAGUAUAGGCUUUGGCAGAAACAAAGACGACUGCGUUCUGUAAACCUUGGCGCUUGUGGAACUAUUUUGGGGAACUCUCAAUGGCCUUGCUCCACUCCUUCCUCCAGUCCAGAAUCACUGUGUUUGUCCGACUUCAGCUGCCUAAGAAGACCAAUUUCCGAAUCAUUACCCUUCGAAUUUCGCUCCACCUGAAAAUUUUACGAAAUUUCAGGGAUUAAGCACAAUGAUCCGCAAAUAUAUCAUCAAUCCUCUGCGUUUAAUGAACACCAGAACAGGCAGGGAGGCAGCUUCGAAAGAGGACGGUUCCAUCCACAACUCAUGACACAGGCGUACGCACAUCUGCACAUCUUGGGAGAAACCCCCAGGUUAGCUUACCAUGAGAAGACUAUCCCAGGCCGCUAGACGGAAUUUACAAAACACUGAGCCGGCUACAACGACGACAUCCGAGGCAACUGAACAGAUCAGGCGCUAAAAUUCAUUGAAAAGAGAUUUUAGGAUCCAAUGCAGGAAGUGUCCAGGAAUGCAUGAAACCUCAGUGAGCCCCAGACCACUCCCCGCAAGAUAAAAUCUCUCUUGCUGAACCCCAGCCGGUAUGAAUACUCAGAGACACAGGAGCUCCCGAAGACCACGAGAACACAGAGAGAGAGAGAGAUGCUUGCGGAGCGUGAGCGGUGCGAUACCUGCCGGAGAUCGAGCUUGCUUCGGACUCCCAAUGCUCGAGUUCACUAGGAUCGCUACACUGUCGCUGAACUGGGAUCACCAAUCAACGGCAAGGGUAAGAAAGAGGUCCUA